CAGCUUUUGACAUCCCGGUUUUGGUUAUCAGAGAUGAUUUCCUUCAGUUCGGCUGGACCGGAGACAGGUGCUGCAUGGCUGUCGUCAGCUCGUGUCGUGAGAUGUUGGGUUAAGUCCCGCAACGAGCGCAACCCUCGCCCUUAGUUGCCAUCAUUAAGUUGGGCACUCUAAGGGGACUGCCGGUGAUAAGCCGAGAGGAAGGUGGGGAUGACGUCAAGUCCUCAUGGCCCUUACGGGCUGGGCUACACACGUGCUACAAUGGCGGUGACAAUGGGCAGCUACUUCGCAAGGAGAUGCUAAUCUCAAAAAACCGUCUCAGUUCGGAUUGUCCUCUGCAACUCGAGGGCAUGAAGUUGGAAUCGCUAGUAAUCGUAGAACAGCAUGCUACGGUGAAUACGUUCCC
rnacentral:rRNA from 1 species